rnacentral:rRNA from 1 species
GACGAACGCUGGCGGCGUGCCUAACACAUGCAAGUCGAACGGGGCAAUUUCUUCGGAGAUUGCUUAGUGGCGAACGGGUGAGUAACGCGUGAGAAACCUGCCUCUCAGUGGGGGACAACAGUUGGAAACGACUGCUAAUACCGCAUAACAUAUUCGAAGGGCAUCCUUUGAAUAUCAAAGCUUUAUGUGCUGAGAGAUGGUCUCGCGUCUGAUUAGCUAGAUGGCGGGGUAACGGCCCACCAUGGCGACGAUGUCUAGGGGUUCUGAGAGGAAGGUCCCCCACACUGGAACUGAGACACGGUCCAGACUCCUACGGGAGGCAGCAGUGAGGAAUAUUGGUCAAUGGUCUGACGACUGAACCAGCCAUGCCGCGUGAAGGACGACGGUCCUAUGGAUUGUAAACUUCUUUUAUAUGGGAAUAAAGUGUGGGACGUGUCCCAUUUUGAUGUACCAUUAUGAAUAAGCAUCGGCUAACUCCGUGCCAG